rnacentral:misc_RNA from 1 species
GAAAUGCGAUAAGUAGUGUGAAUUGCAGAAUUCAGUGAAUCAUCGAAUCUUUGAACGCACAUUGCGCCCCCUGGAACCCCUAGGGGCAUGCCUGUUCGAGCGUCAUCUAAGCCUCAAGCCCUGCUUGGCGAUGGGUGUCUGUCCUGCCCCCGCGCAUGGACUCGCCCCAAAUCCAUUGGCGGCCCUCACGUCGGCUCCGAGCGCAGCAGAAACGCGGACUCGUGGCCCGGCGGAGCGGCUCCCAGAAGCCCUCUCACCGUUUUGACCUCGGAUCAGGUAGGGAUACCCGCUGAACUUAA